rnacentral:lncRNA from 1 species
GACGACGUUGACAUUAAGGCAUCAUCAGCAGAGUCGACCUCUAUAAUUAAGGCUGAACCCGGGAGAGAGGCCCAAAAGCCUCGAAAUGUGGACAAGAGCAACUGAGGAAAACUGUAUCAAUGUGUCGGAAUAAGACUUUGGCAUACCCAGUAGUAAAUCGUCAGAAAGCUCCCUAGGUCUUGAUGAUCUUGAGUGAAGAAGAAAUCAGCGAAGUCGUUGGCUGAUGGGUUAUUACGGAGUAUGGAAAGAAAACAAAAGGCGGGAAUCGAAGCUCCAACAUGGAUGGAGAUGAAGUCACAGACCCACCAAAUGAGCGUUGAUGAGUUCCAUUUAAAUAAAAUCUUGAUCGGCAGGCAGACCAAGUCGCGGCAUCCGUUUUGAGGCCCAUAGAGACCAUGCUGAGGGGCAGUCGGAGCAAAAUUAAUAUCGUAAAAAGAUACAUCCGAUAAUUUAUGAAACAUAAAUAACUAAAACAAAAAUACAAAUCAUUUGUCCGAUGA